UACGUAGGGGGCUAGCGUUGUCCGGAAUCAUUGGGCGUAAAGAGCGUGUAGGCGGUUCGGUAAGUCUGUCGUGAAAUCCUGAGGCUCAACCUCGGACGUGCGAUGGAUACUGCCGGGCUAGAGGAUGGUAGAGGCGAGUGGAAUUCCCGGUGUAGCGGUGAAAUGCGUAGAUAUCGUAAGGAAGACCAGUGGCGAAGGCGGGUCUCUGGACAGUUCCUGACGCUGAGGCACGAAGGCCAGGGGAGCAGACGGG
rnacentral:rRNA from 1 species